ACCAGACUCCUACGGGAGGCAGCAGUGAGGAAUAUUGGUCAAUGGACGAGAGUCUGAACCAGCCAAGUAGCGUGAAGGAUGACUGCCCUAUGGGUUGUAAACUUCUUUUAUAUGGGAAUAAAACAGGGUAUGCAUACCCUCUUGUAUGUACCAUAUGAAUAGGGAUCGGCUAACUCCGUGCCAGCAGCCGCGGUAAUACGGAGGAUCCGAGCGUUAUCCGGAUUUAUUGGGUUUAAAGGGAGCGUAGGUGGAUUGUUAAGUCAGUUGUGAAAGUUUGCGGCUCAACCGUAAAAUUGCAGUUGAAACUGGCGGUCUUGAGUACAGUAGAGGUGGGCGGAAUUCGUGGUGUAGCGGUGAAAUGCAUAGAUAUCACGCAGAACUCCGAUUGCGAAGGCAGCAUACCGGCGCGCAACUGACGCUCAUGCACGAAAGCGUGGGUAUCGAACAGGAUUAGAUACCCUCGUAC
rnacentral:rRNA from 1 species